rnacentral:rRNA from 1 species
AGAGUUUGAUCCUGGCUCAGGAUGAACGCUAGCGAUAGGCCUAACACAUGCAAGUCGAGGGGCAGCACAUGAAGUAGCAAUACGGAUGGUGGCGACCGGCGCACGGGUGAGUAACGCGUAUGCAAUCUACCUACAACAAGGGAAUAACUCGUUGAAAGACGGACUAAUACCCUAUAAAACAGGGGUCCCGCAUGGGAAUAUUUGUUAAAGAAAUUCGCUGAUAGAUGGGCAUGCGUUCCAUUAGGUAGUUGGUGAGGUAACGGCUCACCAAGCCGACGAUGGAUAGGGGAACUGAGAGGUUGGUCCCCCACACUGGUACUGAGACACGGACCAGACUCCUACGGGAGGCAGCAGUGAGGAAUAUUGGUCAAUGGGCGAGAGCCUGAACCAGCCAAGUCGCGUGAAGGAAGAAGGAUCUAUGGUUCGUAAACUUCUUUUGCAGGGGAAUAAAGUGCAGGACGUGUCCUGUUUUGUAUGUACCCUGAGAAUAAGGAUCGGCUAACUCCGUGCCAGCAGCCGCGGUAAUA